UAUCAGGUCCUUUGAGGACUCUAUCCUCUGC
rnacentral:piRNA from 1 species